rnacentral:rRNA from 1 species
CCUACGAGAGGCAGCAGUGAGGAAUAUUGGUCAAUGGACGCAAGUCUGAACCAGCCAUGCCGCGUGCAGGAAGACUGCUCUAUGAGUUGUAAACUUCUUUUGUACGAGGGUAAACUCAGAUACGCGUAUCUGUCUGAAAGUAUCUUAUGAAUAAGGAUCGGCUAACUCCGUGCCAGCAGCCGCGGUAAUACGGAGGAUUCAAGCGUUAUCCGGAUUUAUUGGGUUUAAAGGGUGCGUAGUCGGUUGGAUAAGUUAGAGGUGAAAUCCCGAGGCUCAACUUCGGAAUUGCCUCUGAUACUGUCAGGCUUGAGAGUAGUUGAGGUAGGCGGAAUGUGUGGUGUAGCGGUGAAAUGCUUAGAGAUCAUAAAGAACACCGAUUGCGAAGGCAGCUUACCAAGCUACCUCUGACGUUGAGGCACGAAAGUGUGGGGAGCAAACAGGAUUAGAUACCCCGGUAGUC